rnacentral:rRNA from 1 species
GACGAACGCUGGCGGUGUGCUUAACACAUGCAAGUCGAACGGAAAGGCCCUGCUUUCGUGGGGUGCUCGAGUGGCGAACGGGUGAGUAACACGUGAGUAACCUGCCCUUGACUUUGGGAUAACUUCAGGAAACUGGGGCUAAUACCGGAUAGGAGCUCCCGCUGCAUGGUGGGGGUUGGAAAGUUUCGGCGGUUGGGGAUGGACUCGCGGCUUAUGAGCUUGCUGGUGGGGUAGUGGCUUACCAAGGCUUUGACGGGUAGCCGGCCUGAGAGGGUGACCGGCCACAUUGGGCCUGAGAUACGGCCCAGACUCCUACGGGGGACAGCAGUCGGGAAUAUGGCACAGUGGGCGGAAGCCUGAUGCAGCAACGCCGCGUUCGGGAUGACAGCCUUCGGGUUGUAAACCGCAUUCGCCUGUGACGAAGCGUGAGUGACGGUAAUGAGUGAAGAAGCACCGGCUAACUACGUG